UACAGAGGUCCCGAGCGUUGUUCGGAUUCAUUGGGCGUAAAGGGUGCGUAGGCGGCGGGGUAAGUCUGAUGUGAAAUCCUGGGGCUCAACCCUGGAACUGCAUUGGAUACUGCCUUGCUAGAGAACUGGAGAGGAGACUGGAAUUUACGGUGUAGCAGUGAAAUGCGUAGAGAUCGUAAGGAAGACCAGUGGCGAAGGCGAGUCUCUGGGCCGAUACUGACGCUGAGGAGCGAAAGCGUGGGGAGCGAACAGG
rnacentral:rRNA from 1 species